GAGUUUGAUCCUGGCUCAGGACGAACGCUGGCGGCGUGCCUAAUACAUGCAAGUCGAGCGCAGGAAAUAAACGGAUCCCUUCGGGGUGAUGUUUAUGGAAUGAGCGGCGGACGGGUGAGUAACACGUGGGCAACCUGCCUGUAAGAUCGGGAUAACUCGCGGAAACGUGAGCUAAUACCGGAUAACACUUUUCAUCUCAUGGUGAGAAGAUAAAAGACGGUUUCGGCUGUCACUUACAGAUGGGCCCGCGGCGCAUUAGCUAGUUGGUGAGGUAACGGCUCACCAAGGCGACGAUGCGUAGCCGACCUGAGAGGGUGAUCGGCCACACUGGGACUGAGACACGGCCCAGACUCCUACGGGAGGCAGCAGUAGGGAAUCUUCCGCAAUGGACGAAAGUCUGACGGAGCAACGCCGCGUGAGUGAUGAAGGUUUUCGGAUCGUAAAACUCUGUUGUUAGGGAAGAACAGGUUGGGUAGUAACUGACCCAACCUUGACGGUACCUAACCAGAAAGCCACGGCUAACUACGUGCCAGCAGCCGCGGUAAUACGCAGGUGGCAAGCGUUGUCCGGAAUUAUUGGGCGUAAAGCGCUCGCAGGCGGUCUUUUAAGUCUGAUGUGAAAGCCCACGGCUUAACCGUGGAGGGUCAUUGGAAACUGGAGGACUUGAGUACAGAAGAGGAGAGUGGAAUUCCGCGUGUAGCGGUGAAAUGCGUAGAGAUGUGGAGGAACACCAGUGGCGAAGGCGACUCUCUGGUCUGUAACUGACGCUGAGGAGCGAAAGCGUGGGUAGCGAACAGGAUUAGAUACCCUGGUAGUCCACGCCGUAAACGAUGAGUGCUAGGUGUUAGGGGGUUUCCGCCCCUUAGUGCUGAAGUUAACGCAUUAAGCACUCCGCCUGGGGAGUACGGCCGCAAGGCUGAAACUCAAAAGAAUUGACGGGGCCCGCACAAG
rnacentral:rRNA from 1 species